GAUGAACGCUGGCGGCGUGCCUAAUACAUGCAAGUCGAGCGAACAGACGAGGAGCUUGCUCCUCUGACGUUAGCGGCGGACGGGUGAGUAACACGUGGAUAACCUACCUAUAAGACUGGGAUAACUUCGGGAAACCGGAGCUAAUACCGGAUAAUAUAUUGAACCGCAUGGUUCAAUAGUGAAAGACGGUUUUGCUGUCACUUAUAGAUGGAUCCGCGCCGCAUUAGCUAGUUGGUAAGGUAACGGCGUACCAAGGCGACGAUGCGUAGCCGACCUGAGAGGGUGGUCGGCCACACUGGAACUGAGACACGGUCCAGACUCCUACGGGAGGCAGCAGUAGGGAAUCUUCCGCAAUGGGCGAAAGCCUGACGGAGCAACGCCGCGUGAGUGAUGAAGGUCUUCGGAUCGUAAAACUCUGUUAUUAGUGAAGAACAAAUGUGUAAGUAACUAUGCACGUCUUGACGGUACCUAAUCAGAAAGCCACGGCUAACUACGUG
rnacentral:rRNA from 1 species